GCCUCGAUGGUGUAGUGGUAGUAGCACGCGUCCCCGAUGUGGAUGAAAGGCGGGUUAGAUUCCCGCCUGAGGCC